AUUGAACGCUGGCGGCAUGCUUUACACAUGCAAGUCGAACGGUAACAGCACUUCGGUGGCUGACGAGUGGCGAACGGGUGAGUAAUACAUCGGAACGUGCCUAGUAGUGGGGGAUAACUACUCGAAAGAGUAGCUAAUACCGCAUGAGAUCUAAGGAUGAAAGCAGGGGACCUUCGGGCCUUGCGCUACUAGAGCGGCUGAUGGCAGAUUAGGUAGUUGGUGGGAUAAAAGCUUACCAAGCCGACGAUCUGUAGCUGGUCUGAGAGGACGACCAGCCACACUGGGACUGAGGCACGGCCCAGACUCCUACGGGAGGCAGCAGUGGGGAAUUUUGGACAAUGGGCGCAAGCCUGAUCCAGCAAUGCCGCGUGCAGGAUGAAGGCCUUCGGGUUGUAAACUGCUUUUGUACGGAACGAAAAGCCCUCUUCUAAUACAGGAGGGUCAUGACGGUACCGUAAGAAUAAGCACCGGCUAACUACGUG
rnacentral:rRNA from 1 species